CAUCCCUUUAUAAUGUUUAUUAGAAAUAUGAAAAAUAUCAUACAAAAUAGAGAAACAUAAGAGCAGUGCUUCUGAACAAAUCAAUCGGGAAGUUCUGGAAGGCUCAAAAGUAAGCAAGACGGAGACACAGGGUGGAAUGGGUUAAACCCACUAUGCACACAUGAAACACACUACAUGAUAUAAACAUUUCUUAGAAAUAUGAAAUUCAGCUGGAAAAUAGAUUGGCCAAAGGCAUAAGAAAGAGGAAGAAAGAGAGUGAAAGAGAGGGAGAGUGAAAGGGAGAAAGCAAUCAUUAAGAACUCAAAAUUUAGCAAAAUGAGAAAAGUUACCUAAAAGACUCAUGAUUCUCAGCCUGAGCUCAUACCAGUCUGUCCUGUCUGCAGUGUGGCACAUGUGAGGAACAGAACUUUCAGGCUUGUCAUCAGCCUGACAAUGCUCGUGUGGAGUUGGUUUUGGGCCUGGCACGGGAGUGGGGAGGCCACCAACCCUCAUGCCACUCCACAGAAAGGCCUCCUGGGGCCUCAACUCUGCUCACUGGGAACUCUCACUCCCAGAGGGGAAUCCAGGAGUCCAGGAGCAGAGAGCUGAUAUUCCUCCUGUCCCCAGGCCUGUUUCCAUGGUGACAGCGACCCUCACGCUGUGAACACCAAGAAGGGAAGCCAGAUCACAGGUCCUUGGAAGCAGAGCAAGCUCUCCCUCCUGGGGGCCUCCUUGCCAGCUCCUCUCAGCCCCAGCCCCCAGCCCCCAGCCCCCAGCACGGAAGUCCUUUGUCUCUAGCUGUGUCUGUAACUGCCUUGCUGCCCCUCGGCCUCCCCUCCAGCCCCCCUUCUCUGUCUGCCGAGUAGCACAUGUUCUCCCGCCUCCUGAUUGAUCUACUCAGGGAGAAUGGGGGGAAACGACUCUUUAAUUAAUCUCCUGCCUUAAUUAAUUAUUGUAAUGGCUUUCAACUUGGGGGGAACGAGGGCCACAAUGUACUUAACAUGUUUUUAUGUCGACGAACACAUUUUCUACUUUGCAGAGAAAGAAGAGGCCUGUUUUGGGUUUGGGGCUGCGGAGUGAUUUAUAAAGGGCAUUAACACCAGAGGACUCCUGCUGCGGACUCAUGGGUUGGCUUUCUCUGGUGACCAACUUUCACCCUCCACCUCUCCCUCUCCCUUCGAGCUCCCCCAGUCUGCCCACCUCUCAUUCCUCCCUUUCCGGUACUUCUCCCUCUUCUAACCUACCUCUUUUGCCUGGAUUCACUUUGCUCGUUAUUCCCACCUCACCCUCUCACUCUCACUCUUUCUCCAAAGACCCUUAAGGAAAAUGGCCGCCGAGCAGAAGCUCUGAGGGUUGGCGUGCAUUGGCGGCAUGGAACAAGUCAGGGGCCUGGAAGGACACUGUGGGCAGAAAAGGUGGGCACCGGGUCAGCUUUGGCCUGUUUCUCUGUGGUGACCACUCACGCACCCUAUGAAAGGCGGAGAAGGUUACCAGGAAUACCUCGUAUAAAUAAAAUGCUUUCCAGGCCUCAGUGGCCCUGGGUGUGAAGCCCUUUGGAGAAGGCUUCAGGUUCGCCGUGAGUGGGGAAAACGCUGUCUGGGCUAGCGGAAUUUCUGGAGAGAAGAAGAAGAAGUAAAGAAGAAAAACAGUCCCACAAAUCACUCCUCAGUGAGGUGAGAGUAUCCACGGCAACCCGCCCAGGGCUGAGCACCAAGGAGGCAGGAGAUGUACCGUCACCAUGGAAACCACAUCCUAGAAACUCACUGGUAUUGGUCCCUGUUUGCCUCUGCAGAUGAGGUGCUGGGGGUGGGGGCUAGACCUGCAGGGUCCCUGGAGGAACUGGGACGAGGUGAGCGUGAGGAAAGAGAUAAGAAGGGGCAGGAGAGAUGAGCGAGGGGAGAGGACAGGAAGGAGAGAUGGAGAGAGCGCAGGAAAGGUGAAGGGAGGAGGGGAAGUUCCCAGGAAUGAGACAGCCUCUCUCAGGGGCAUCCUGAGCUCUCUGGCCCUUCCCCAGCAGGGGACGAAGUGCCCUGUGCCAAGCGAGGGGGUGUGCCGGGGAGCUGAGCCAGGUGAAAAGGCCUGAGCUGAGGCCCAGGCUGAGUCUUGCUGUUGGAGAGAGGCACCCACCCAUCCUGGCUGCUUUUAUUCCAUCUCUGGUUAUCAUCUAGUCAAGAUGAGUAAAUGGAGCACACCUGGGCGCCCAUUCACUGCCCACACUGCAACCUUCCAAAGGGUCUGGGACCAGAGGAACCCAAUGUGCGGUCUCCAGUCCCUCCCCUGCCCCUGGGUGCCCACGCACAAGCAUGCCCGGGCGGGAGGGUGAUUGGAAGCUGAGCUCCAAAGCUGGCCUCUUGCCCUAAUUACACCCAGAUCCCGGGUUGCCAUUCUCUUUUUCUGGAAAUUAAGUGGCAGCUGGGUGCCUAGCGCCACCUUCUGGCAGCCAUGAUCAGAAAUGGCUGGUCCCAGCAGGACCUCCACAGCAGAGCCAGGGAUCCGCUCUUCAAGCCAGGCGUCAAACUAGGACCCUCCACCAAACGCCCUUCGGAUGGCCUGUGGGCCAGAUGAACUGUUCAGUCAAAGAAGCCACAGAGCGCAUCCAGUUUAGAGAACCAGCACCAGCUCUGACACUGAUGGGCUGUGUGAUCUUGGCAAGCCCGUUGCCUCACUGGCCUUCAGUGUCCCAUCUGUGCAACAGAGGCUUGGGCCAAAUUGCCCAGCAGAGGUCUGAGUGCCUUGACUCCAGCCAGAAUCUAGUCCCUACCUGGGGUAUUCUGUGGAGUCUGAGGGGAGAAGCUAGAACCCCUCCUCCAGUGUCCCUCAGAACCGCUCCAUGGCCCGGGGGCUCUGUAAGCCCCACAUGGUUCAAGGGGGCCCAGCACAGGCGGGUAUCAGUUUCCUAUCACCUUCCCCUUAUCAGGCAGGCCCCGCCAAGAAGCGGGCAGAAAUGGAAGCCGCAGGACACACAGCACCCACUGCAAGGCAUGCCCCUGCCCUCCUCCUAGACCACGGCAGCCCCACCUGCCCUCCUCUGUAGUCUGAAAGAACCCCUGGACCACAAGGCUCCUAGAAAUCGGCUAGAGGAGGAGGAGCACUGGAGAACUGGCAUUCUCCCAGUUGAUGCUGGCACCUCCUGCCCUUCCUCCAUUUUCUGCAGGUGAAGCCCCACUUCAGGACAAGGGGCCAAGUGUACGAUGCUUCCUCAGCACCUGUGACUGAGCACACGGCUACUGAGCUGCCUGCUGGCAAUCAAGGGAGCCAGCCAGGGCUGCAGGAGGGGGGUCUAGAGGGGACUGUGGUCACCCUGGUGUCCUGGAAAGUCACUAGUUGAAGAAAAUGGCAGAAUCUUCCUCUCAGCGUUCUGCUGAGGAUUAAGCAAGGUCAUGUAUGUACAGCCCUUAGCAGCACUCAUCGUCACAGACUCCAAUUCAGAAGAUUCCAGAUUUGGGCCAGGCCAACUCUGACUCAUCCCAAUAUUAAGAGCAUGUUUAAAGUACAAUCUUGAGUGUUCCUUCCAUCAGUAACUACUUAUUGAGCACCUACUACAUGCCAAGCACUGCGGUGGACCGCAGGACUAGAACAACAAAGAAGACAGACACGAGGCCAGAUUUCAUGGAGCUUCUCACCUGGUGGGAGGCAAGGGAGAGUCGUGAAUAAACAUCAAACAAGGACACAAAGAAUGAGUUUCUCUGCAUUGUGAUGAGGAAGCAAAGACGCCAAGGGAGCAUAUGACCAGGAAGCUGACCUCGUCUGGGUGGUCACGGAUGAUUUGUCUUCACCUCUUUCUUCUUCCUGCUGAUGGGAAUGACAGCACGAUGGCUGGAGCUUUGCAGCCAUCUUGAACGAUGAGGCACAGGUGCUGGAUGAGGGGCCUGCAUUCCUGAUAACCUUGUGAAGGUACCUAAGCCCCCUCUGUAUUCUCUACUCCUAACUUACAGGGAGAAAAUGACUUUUAUAUUGUCUAAAGAUGGUGUUGUUUUCACUGAACUGCUGAAGUGGAGUUAGUGUUGCACACACCGCCUCUUCAUUAGACUGUAAGAACCUUGGGGGAAGAUGGAGGGCAGCACCCAGCACAGGGCCUUCCUAUAGAAGGGAGUCUCAGUGGCUAUUUGUGGAAUUCGCUGAUUAAGCAGGAAGGAGUUGAGAGGAGACAGAAGAAUCACUGGACAGACAAAUCAAGGGACAAGAAGCUUGAACCAUUUCUAGAGACGUCUGAGGACGGAGCCGAAAGAAGGUGAGACAGAGACUCAGCAGCCAAGGACAGGGCCUGAUUGAACAAGUUAAAGGACUUGAACCCAGGGAGAUAAGUGACUUCUGAAACAAGUACCUUAAGGUGUUGGAGGGCUCCUCAGGGACAGCUUGAUGCUGACUGUGGCCUUGAGUGUAAUGUCCAAGGAAGACCCAAGAAAUGGGGAGCAGAGGGACCUGGGUUUAAAUCCUGCCACUUAACAGCUGAGUGAGUUCAGGAAGCUUGGAAGUGGACCCUUCCCAGUCGAGCCUCCAGAUGAGAAUCCAGCUCUGACUGGCACUGUUGGCAGCUCUGCAGAGGACCUGCUAAGCCAUGCCCAGGAACUGUGAGAUACUAAAUGUGUGUUGUUUUAAGCUGCUAAGUUUUUGGUGACUUGUGACAUGGCAUAGAAAACAAAUAGAGGUGCUAUAUCAAGAAUAUGUUAUGGAAUACAUAAGGAAUAUAAAACUUCCCCUUUUCCUGCACGUCAACCCCAAGAGGGGGCAUUAUUUCCCCCAUUUAUAGAGAAAACUGAGGCUUAGCAGAGCAGCUAAAUUCCCUGAGACCACGCAGCUCCUGGGGGAGGAGGAGCCAGAACACAGACCCCAGGGCCUGCUGUGAGCCAGGAGGAGCACCAAUAUCCCUGCUGCAGUGGUGGCAGCCUUACCCCGCAACGUGCUGUGCAGCGCGAUGAAGCCUUUAGCGGGGUCUGCCCCGCCCAGUCCUCCACAGACCGCACCCCUCCCUGGUGCCUGGGACCCAGCUGCUUCUCACGGUUCUCUGGCACCUAUCUGGUCCCUGAGGGCAUUUCAGUUUCUAACUCCUGCAUAACUAGGGCACUGGUAGUUAGAUCCCAAGUAGAUCCAGCCCUGGUUUCUCAAGGGCUUGGGAGCAAAAGGCAAGAGUCUAACUCCCCUGGAAUAAGGCAGAGGCAAGGAGACAGCACAUGCACCCCCUUCCUGAGCUGUGAGGCCACAAUGAGUCACUCCCACAACAUCCAUGUGUCCCAGGGUCACUGCACCCUCUGCACCCUGGGCUGGGCCUGACCUGUCACUUGACUCCAAGGAAAAGCAAGUGCAGCAGAGGAGGGAGAGAGAAGCGC
rnacentral:lncRNA from 1 species